ACCGCGCCUCCGGAGGAGGAUCUUAACCACGCAGAACGGAAGUUCCUGAGCCUUCAAACCCGCGGGGAAGCAAGUCGGCAACGGACCAAGAUGGCGACGCCCAGUGAGGGGCAAGCUUUUGCCGCGGGGGUUGAAAAGAAUUGGGGUGCAGUUGUUCGCUCCCCAGAAGGGACGCCCCAGAAAGUCCGGCAGCUGAUAGAUGAGGGGAUUGCCCCGGAAGAGGGAGGCGCGGAAGCGAAAGACACAUCUGCCACAUUCCAGUCAGUUAAUGGAUCGCCCCAAGCAGAACAGCCUCCAUUGGAAUCUACAAGCAAAGAAGCCUUCUUUAGCAGAGUGGAAACAUUUUCUUCUCUGAAAUGGGCAGGUAAGCCCUCCGAGCUGUCUCCACUCGUCUGUGCGAAAUACGGCUGGGUCACAGUGGAGUGUGACAUGCUGAAGUGCUCCAGCUGCCAGGCUUUUCUCUGUGCCAGUUUACAACCAGCUUUUGAUUUUGACCGAUAUAAGGACCGAUGUGCUGAGCUGAAGAAAGCCUUGUGCACCGCCCAUGAGAAGUUCUGUUUCUGGCCAGACAGCCCCUCCCCAGAUCGAUUUGGGAUGUUGCCAUUGGAUGAACCUGCUGUUCUUGUUAGUGAAUUUCUAGAUCGUUUUCAAAGCCUUUGUCACUUGGACCUUCAGCUUCCUUCCCUGAGGCCAGAGGACUUGAAAACUAUGUGCUUGACAGAAGACAAGGUCAGUCUUCUCAUGCACCUGCUUGAAGAUGAACUUGACCACCGAACUGAUGAGAAAAAAACUGCAAGCAAAUUAGGCUCAGACAUCCAAGUCCACGUCACUGCCUGUGUCCUCUCUCUGUGUGGCUGGGCGUGUAGUUCUUCUUUGGAACCCCUGCAGCUCUCCCUGAUAAGCUGUUCACAGUGUAUGAGGAAGGUGGGGCUCUGGGGCUUCCAGCAGAUUGAGUCCUCCAUGACGGACCUGGAUGCUUCUUUGGGUCUGACCAGCUCUCCCCUCCCAGGCCCUGAGGGGAGGCCGGAGCGCUUCCCUCUUGUGCCUGAGUCUCCUCGGAGGAUGAUGACCCGGAGCCAGGAUGCCACGUGUUCCCCUGGCUCAGAGCAGGCUGAAAGGAGCCCUGGUCCCGUCAUCUCCCGAACUCGGAGCUGGGACUCUUCCAGUCCCGUCGACCGUCCUGAGCCAGAGUCUGCCAGCCCCACCACGAGAAGCCGGCCGGUGACCCGCAGCAUGGGAACGGGAGACAGCACUGGCCUGGAAGUGCCGUCAAGCCCUCUGCGGAGGGCCAAGCGCGCUCGCCUCUGCUCUUCCAGCAGCUCGGAUACGUCAUCCCGAAGCUUCUUUGACCCCACCUCUCAGCACAGAGACUGGUGCCCGUGGGUGAAUGUCACACUUGGCCAGGAAACCAGGGAACAUGGCGGAACAGAGGUAGACUCCAGUGCCACCUCAGAGCCAGGCUGGAAGGCCGUGCUGAACAUCCUCCUGGCCCACAAGCAGUCCAGCCAGCCGGCCGAAACAGACUCCACGUAAGAGCUCAGAUUCUUCCCAGCCCCUGCCCCGGGACUUUUCUUUUACUGAAAUACUCAUCCACAAAGAGGAUAAGAAGACAGUGAAAAUGUCUUCUAAUACCCGAAACUGGAGAGUCUCUCGGAGAAAUCAAGGAAGGUAUUCCGAAUAUUCCGGCAGUGGGAAUCGUUAUGUUCAUCCUGAAGCUAUUCCAGCCCUUCCUGGAGAGCAGCGGAAUGAGUGACUUUGAGAAAUAAAGUCUGAAUUCCUUUUCGGCCAGCUGAUGCAAAGUUUUUCUCCGUUCCGGUUCAAUCAUAAGGAGCCCCUGUCCUUGCAAAAGGCAGUGAGUGUCACUGUCUACCUCUGACUGAGGGGGAGCCUGUCUCCAUGCUGGGGUGGGGGCAGGUGGAGUUCAGCAAGCCCACUUCUGUUAAAGGAGUGUGGGGUUAUUCCACCAGCCGGAAGACCAAGGACUUGAGCACUUUUACCCUCUUUCAGUACGCGGCAGUGUUUUGAGGACUCUUCUAUCCCGAGAAUAUGACAGUAUGUAUUAAUAAAACAUUUGUUAAGAUUC